CCUACGGGUGGCAGCAGUGGGGAAUAUUGCGCAAUGGGCGAAAGCCUGACGCAGCGACGCCGCGUGAGGGAUGAAGGUCUUCGGAUCGUAAACCUCUGUCAGCAGGGAAGAACGGUCACUGUGCUAAUCAGCAGUGAAUUGACGGUACCUGCAAAGGAAGCACCGGCUAACUCCGUGCCAGCAGCCGCGGUAAUACGGAGGGUGCGAGAGUUAAUCGGAAUUACUGGGCGUAAAGCGCUCGUAGGCGGUAUGUCAAGUCAAGGGUGAAAUCCCCGCGCUCAACGUGGGAACUGCAUUUGAAACUGGCAAACUGGAGUGUGUGAGAGGAUAGUGGAAUUCCAGGUGUAGGAGUGAAAUGCGUAGAUAUCUGGAGGAACAUCAGUGGCGAAGGCGACUAUCUGGCACAUAACUGACGCUGAGGAGCGAAAGCGUGGGUAGCAAACAGGAUUAGAUACCCCGGUAGUC
rnacentral:rRNA from 1 species